ACGCUCGACACCUACGCGAGCAGCAGUGGGGAAUAUUGCGCAAUGGGGGAAACCCUGAUGCAGCGACGCCGCGUGAGCGAAGAAGUAUUUCGGUAUGUAAAGCUCUAUCAGCAGGGAAGAAACUGACGGUACCUGACUAAGAAGCACCGGCUAAAUACGUGCCAGCAGCCGCGGUAAUCUGAGCGGGCUGGCAAGGC
rnacentral:rRNA from 1 species